rnacentral:rRNA from 1 species
UACGGAGGGUGCAAGCGUUAUCCGGAUUUACUGGGUUUAAAGGGUGCGUAGGCGGCUUGGUAAGUCCGUGGUGAAAUCUCUAAGCUUAACUUGGAAACUGCCAUGGAUACUAUUAGUCUUGAAUAUUGUGGAGGUUAGCGGAAUAUGUCAUGUAGCGGUGAAAUGCAUAGAUAUGACAUAGAACACCAAUUGCGAAGGCAGCUGGCUACACAAAUAUUGACGCUGAUGCACGAAAGCGUGGGGAUCAAACAGG